rnacentral:rRNA from 1 species
UACGUAGGGGGCGAGCGUUGUCCGGAGUUACUGGGCGUAAAGCGCGCGCAGGCGGUCCUUUAAGUCUGAUGUGAAAGCCCACGGCUCAACCGUGGAGGGUCAUUGGAAACUGGGGGACUUGAGUGCAGGAGAGAAGAGUGGAAUUCCACGUGUAGCGGUGAAAUGCGCAGAUAUCAGGAGGAACACCGGUGCGAAGGCGGUCUCUGGGCAACAACGUGACGCUGAGAGCGAAGCGUGGGAGCGAACAGG